CUACGGGCCGCACCAGUGGGGAAUAUUGCACAAUGGAGGAAACUCUGAUGCAGCAACGCCGCGUGGAGGAUGACACUUUUCGGAGCGUAAACUCCUUUUAUAUAGGAAGAAGAUGACGGUACUAUAUGAAUAAGCGCCGGCUAACUCCGUGCCAGCAGCCGCGGUAAUACGGAGGGCGCAAGCGUUACUCGGAAUCACUGGGCGUAAAGAGCGUGUAGGCGGAUUAAAAAGUCAGAAGUGAAAUCCUAUAGCUUAACUAUAGAACUGCUUCUGAAACUCUUAAUCUAGAAUAUGGGAGAGGUAGAUGGAAUUUCUGGUGUAGGGGUAAGAUCCGUAGAGAUCAGAAGGAAUACCGAUUGCGAAGGCGAUCUACUAGAACAUUAUUGACGCUGAGACGCGAAAGCGUGGGGAGCAAGCAGGAUUAGAUACCCGCGUAGUC
rnacentral:rRNA from 1 species